rnacentral:rRNA from 1 species
CGAACUGGUGAGUAACACGUGGGUAACCUGCCCCGAAGCGGGGGAUAACAUUUGGAAACAAGUGCUAAUACCGCAUAAUUAGUUGGAACCGCAUGGUUCCAACUUGAAAGAUGGCUCUGCUAUCACUUUGGGAUGGACCCGCGCCGUAUUAGUUAGUUGGUGAGAUAAAAGCCCACCAAGACGAUGAUACGUAGCCGACCUGAGAGGGUAAUCGGCCACAUUGGGACUGAGACACGGCCCAG